rnacentral:rRNA from 1 species
CGCAUCUGUGCAUGCAGCAUAUCAAUAAGCGGAGGAAAAGAAACUAACAAGGAUUCCCCUAGUAACGGCGAGUGAAGCGGGAAGAGCUCAAAUUUGAAAUCUUAAAGGGUUUCCCUUUACGAAUUGUAGUUUAAAGAAGUGUUUUCUGUUGAGGUUUUGGUAAAAGUUCUUUGGAAUAGGACAUCAUAGAGGGUGAGAAUCCCGUAUUUGACCUUUACUUUCAACUUUGUGAUACACUUUCAAAGAGUCGGAUUGUUUGGGAAUGCAGUCCAAAAUGGGUGGUAAAUUUCAUCUAAAGCUAAAUAUUGGCGAGAGACCGAUAGCGAACAAGUACCGUGAGGGAAAGAUGAAAAGAACUUUGAAAAGAGAGUUAAACAGUACGUGAAAUUGUCAAAAGGGAAGCGUUUGACACCAGUGUUGUUUUUCUGAAAAUCAAUUAAAGAACUGUUUAUGCUAAGUUGUUUAGACUUUAUCAGCUAAUCUGCUUAGUUUUGAGCUUUUCUUUAAUGCACUUUUCAGUUAACAAGUCAACAUCAAUUUCUUUUGCUGUAAAAAAGCUUGAGGAAGGUGGCUUGAGAUUCGUCUUAAGUGUUUAUAGCCUCUUGCCUAUGCAGUCGGAGAGAUUGAGGUCUGCAGCGUAGAUCCUUCGGGGCUAAAUGCAUUUGUGCUAAGUUAUAGCAUUUUAUAGACAACUUGUUGACUAUGAUUUGUCUUGUAGCUUACUCGCUUAUGUUAUUUUACCUACGCUUAGGAUGUUGACGAGACUGUCGAUCUC